GGCUGUGGCCGUUUUGUUUUCUUGGCUAAAAUCGGGGGAGUGAGGCGGGCCGGCGCGGCGCGACACCGGGCUCCGGAACCACUGCACGACGGGGCUGGACUGACCUGAAAAAAAUGUCUGGAUUUCUAGAGGGCUUGAGAUGCUCAGAAUGCAUUGACUGGGGGGAAAAGCGCAAUACUAUUGCUUCCAUUGCUGCUGGUGUACUAUUUUUUACAGGCUGGUGGAUUAUCAUAGAUGCAGCUGUUAUUUAUCCCACCAUGAAAGAUUUCAACCACUCAUACCAUGCCUGUGGUGUUAUAGCAACCAUAGCCUUCCUAAUGAUUAAUGCAGUAUCGAAUGGACAAGUCCGAGGUGAUAGUUACAGUGAAGGUUGUCUGGGUCAAACAGGUGCUCGCAUUUGGCUUUUCGUUGGUUUCAUGUUGGCCUUUGGAUCUCUGAUUGCAUCUAUGUGGAUUCUUUUUGGAGGUUAUGUUGCUAAAGAAAAAGACAUAGUAUACCCUGGAAUUGCUGUAUUUUUCCAGAAUGCCUUCAUCUUUUUUGGGGCUGGUUUUUAAGUUUGGCCGCACUGAAGACUUAUGGCAGUGAACACAUCUGAUUUCCCACAGCACAACAGCCCUGCAUGGGUUUGUUUGUUUUUUUACUGCUCACUCCCAACCUUUUGUAAUGCCAUUUUCUAAACUUAUUUCUGAGUGUAGUCUCAGCUUAAAGUUGUGUAAUACUAAAAUCACGAGAACACCUAAACAACAACCAAAAAUCUAUUGUGGUAUGCACUUGAUUAACUUAUAAAAUGUUAGAGGAAACUUUCACAUGAAUAAUUUUUGUCAAAUUUUAUCAUGGUAUAAUUUGUAAAAAUAAAAAGAAAUUACAAAAGAAAUUAUGGAUUUGUCAAUGUAAGUAUUUGUCAUAUCUGAGGUCCAAAACCACAAUGAAAGUGCUCUGAAGAUUUAAUGUGUUUAUUCAAAUGUGGUCUCUUCUGUGUCAAAUGUUAAAUGAAAUAUAAACAUUUUUUAGUUUUUAAAAUAUUCCGUGGUCAAAAUUCUUCCUCACUAUAAUUGGUAUUUACUUUUACCAAAAAUUCUGUGAACAUGUAAUGUAACUGGCUUUUGAGGGUCUCCCAAGGGGUGAGUGGACGUGUUGGAAGAGAGAAGCACCAUGGUCCAGCCACCAGGCUCCCUGUGUCCCUUCCAUGGGAAGGUCUUCCGCUGUGCCUCUCAUUCCAAGGGCAGGAAGAUGUGACUCAGCCAUGACACGUGGUUCUGGUGGGAUGCACAGUCACUCCACAUCCACCAUUGAAGGAAAGGAAAAAAGGGCAGAGACUUGACACUCCAGUCUUAGACAGGGGACAAUUUCUUUGUAGUUGUUCUGAUAAUAAACUGGGUUCCAUGUUGCAUUUCAUCUGUGUACUGAACCACUAGCCUAAUAGACCAGCACGGUCAACUAGAAUGACAAACAUUAGCUACUGGGAACUCUUGUUGUCUCUUCCUCUUCAGAACUCUUGUCCCCCCAGGCUCCCCACCUCUGCAAGAUGGGAUACACUCUUCAGGACCACAGUUUGAAAUGUCUUUCAUAAAAUGUGCUACAAUUAGCCUUCGGAAUAUUUGCUGGGUGAUUUAAAUGUGUGGGUCUCAUUUCCAUGCUAGCCAUGGUCAUCUGACAGUCUCUACACUGUGAAUAUUGCCUGGUGAUCAAGACUCUCCUCAAAGAAAUGACUUGCUGUCAUCCCACAUGAACUCCUGAUGUUUUUUCUACAAAAGUCCAUAAAAUGUGAAAACUGGAGAAGAUCUUAGAGGUUGAAGCCCACCUUCUCUUUUCACAUAGGAGGGAACAGACCAUGGAAAUUUAAACGACUUCCUCACGGUCACAGAACUAGUUUUUUAAUCCUCAGGCAGUGCAUCCCCCCACCCUACAACUGAGCACAACCUCUUUCCCCACAGUGCAAUUCAGAAUAUGCUCAGGGAAUGCCAGCCACCUUGUAAAACUGCUGGGAGAAAAGCAUGAUUCCCACAAGGACUAAGUAUCAGUGAUUUGUAAUUUUCCUGUUUUGUAUUAUCUGCUUUGCUGAUGUAGACAAGAGUUAACUGAGUAGCAUGCUUUAUUAAGCAUGAGAAAGAAUCUUAAGAAUUGUCAAUAAAAUUAACCCAAAACUUUAAUAAUGUGUCUGUAACCAAGAAAAUAUUGAUAGCAUCAUCCUAAUGAAACUAAACAUUUAUUUUAAACUUAUUAAAUUGACUCUUAAACU
rnacentral:lncRNA from 1 species